UUGCGGCCAUAUCACGUUUAAACACCAGUUCUCGUCUGAUCAUUGAAGUUAAGUAACAUCGAGCCUUGUCAGUACAUAGAUGGAUGACUGCUUGAGAAUACCAGGUGUUGCAAGC